rnacentral:rRNA from 1 species
UGCUGUCGUACGAGAGUUUUUAACUCAAGUGGCGGACGGGUGAGUAACACGUGAGAAUUUACCUUUAGGAGGGGGACAACAACUGGAAACGGUUGCUAAUACCCCAUAUGCUUUCGAGUGAAAUGGAUUUUUCCGCCUAGAGAGAAGCUUGCGGCUGAUUAGCUUGUUGGUGAGGUAAUGGCUCACCAAGGCGACGAUCAGUAUCUGGUUUGAGAGGAUGAUCAGACACACUGGAACUGAGACACGGUCCAGACUCCUACGGGAGGCAGCAGUGGGGAAUUUUCCGCAAUGGGCGAAAGCCUGACGGAGCAAUACCGCGUGAGGGAUGACGGCCUAUGGGUUGUAAACCUCUUUUUUCAGGGAGGAAUCAAUGACGUGUACCUGAAGAAUAAGCAUCGGCUAACUCCGUGCCAGCAGCCGCGGUAAGACGGAGGAUGCAAGUGUUAUCCGGAAUCACUGGGCGUAAAGCGUCUGUAGGUGGUUUAAUAAGUCAACUGUUAAAUCUUGAGGCCCAACCUCAAAAUCGCAGUCGAAACUAUUAGACUAGAGUAUAGUAGGGGUAAAGGGAAUUUCCAGUGGAGCGGUGAAAUGCGUAGAGAUUGGAAAGAACACCGAUGGCGAAGGCACUUUACUGGGCUAUUACUAACACUCAGAGACGAAAGCUAGGGUAGCAAAUGGGAUUAGAUACCCCAGUAGUCCUAGCCGUAAACAAUGGAUACUAGAUGUUGGACAGAUCGACCUGUGCAGUAUUAAAGCUAACGCGUUAAGUAUCCCGCCUGGUGCUGUCGUACGG